ensembl:misc_RNA Metazoa_SRP Metazoan signal recognition particle RNA
GCUGGGCAUGGUGGCUCAUGCCUGUAAUCCCAGCACUUUAGGAGGCUGAGGCAGGUGGAUCACCUGAGGUCAGGAGUUCGAGACCAGCCUGGCCAACAUGGUGAAACCCCGUCUCUA